rnacentral:lncRNA from 1 species
UAAGGUUUACCGAGAAUUGUAUUUGUAUCUGGCCUGGGAACUGCUUGUUUUAGGCCAGAAACAGGAGCAGCUGCUGGUGUUGGCCCCGGUUUCUCAGGCCGGUGAUGGGCUUGUUGCUGUGCUGGUGCUGGGGCUUUAGCAACUGUAUUCGGUGAUGAUCUGUAGCCAUGGGCAUAAUGCCGCGGCUUUGGGUCUUUACUUUUUGUUAAACAACCACCCAUUCGAGCAAGACUUAACGAAUUGGAUCAAAAAUACUGAAUUGCCUAAAAGGUUAAAUUUUUUAAAAUGGAGAAGCAAAAGAAGGAACCCAGAUGAGAUAAAGGGAGCGUUAAGAUAAGAUGAGAUAUUGAUUAAAAGGUAGUGACUUUUAUGAAACCCACAUAAGGAUCUUGAGAGAAUAUGCAGGGGAUGUGAUGGGUAGAAAAGUAGAUCAGAGUUAAUGGCUUUUGAAGAUCAGAGUUAUUCAAGGACCGAUGACAAAAGAAAUAGGGUUAACAAGAAAAAGGAAGAAGCUUUGGUCAACUAUUGAAACUUGAAUAAAAGUUGAAUAUUUCUGAGAGAAAAAGCAGAGAUAGCGAAACUGCAAAGAAUCUUCUGACGCUAAGAGACAGCAGGCAGCAGCUUCACAAAAAUGAAAUGAAUUCUCAAUUACUCAAUUAGAUAUAUAUAUAUAUAUAUAUUUUUUUUCCAUUUAAGGUAUUAAUAUUUUAGGGAUAAUUUUGUCCUGCACCCAACUGUUUCAACAUUUUUCACCACACACCCAUAUGUUUCGAAAAUAUUCACUCCACACCCAAUUCCGUUAAUUUGACCGUUUAUUCUAACGGUCAAAGGGCAAAUUUGGAAAUUCAUAUCCUAAAUAUUAUUUGAUGAUGAUAAAUUAAAUUUAUUUGAUAAUUUAAUUGAUGAAAUUAUUAUUAAUUACCUUUAAAUAAAUUUUUUUAAUGUAAACAUUAAUUAUUAAAUUAAUAUUUUAUCUCAUUUUAUUUUUCUCUAAUUCAAGAUAAGGGGUAUUUUGGACAUUUACUUAAAUUUCAAAUAGCUCCGUUAAACAUAACGGUCAAAUUAACGGAAUUGGGUGUGGAGUGAGUAUUUUCGAAACAUAUGGGUGUGUGGCGAAAAAUGUUGAAACAGUUGGGGGCAGGACAAAAUUAACCCUAAAAUCAAUGGUGAAUCCUUCACUCAUGAUAAAUUAAGUGUCAAAGUUGUACUCUCCAAAAAGUAUGGGCCAAUUCAAAUUUCAAAUGGAGAAAUUUCCAAGCGAAAAUUAAAUGUUUCCAUUCUUAAUCAAAAUGUUGAAAAGUUUUCCAUUCUUAUUCGAAAUGUCCAAAUAACUAACUUUCUAAAUAAUUUUGUUCAGCCAAAUCUCCAUCUCUGCAUACUUUUCUCCGUCAAAAACUAAUACCACACAUGCAAUGACAAAUAAAUAAUAUGAUUAACAGAGCAAAAGAAAACGAAAACAGCAACCCAAUAAAUAAAAAGAAAAUAAAAGUAAAAAUUUUAGUAUUUUUCAUUUUCAUGCAACCAAUCAUAUUACUUCAAAUCAAUGUACAUGCAGCAAAAAUUUUGUCGAUGAAAUAAAAUUAGCCAAUCCUGCCUAAAGUAUCUUUCCCAAUCACAUCAUGCCACCUCAUACAAGCCGCGUAUCUCAAAAACACUUGCUAUAAAGAAUCCAUGCAGAGAUCAAUGCCUCUUUUAAGUUCUCUUCCAUCUCAUAUUUUUCUCUUCACAGAACCAAAAGCUCUCUCAGCCCCUAAGAUUAUCAAAGAGCCUUUUUAGCCAAAAGGGUAUUUUAUUUUGUUCAUUUUCGUUUUUAUUUUCUAUUAUUAUUUGACUCUAUAUUUAGUUCAUUGCAUUGGCCGAAUCGCUUGGUCUAUUUGUGAAUUGUGAUGUGUAUUUCACAUAAAAUUGUUCUGGUCUUGCUUUUAUUUCGGGCCUUUUUUUUUGUUAUUUUUUAUUCAACACCUUCUUUGAUUUUAUUAUAAACCCACUUUCAAGCUUCUCCUUCAUAUCUCUCUUUGCUCAUUAGUUUCCUAAGACCUUUUCUCUUCUUUCUUGUAUAUUUUUUUUUUCAGGUCAGCUUGAUUCAUUUAUGCCUGCAAAGAUUUAUAUUUAUGUCUAUUUUAUAGUUAAUUUUUGAAAUAUGCUAGUUUAUAUAUGUUUCUUGAGAUUUUCUAAUAUUGAAAAUUUGUACAAAGCUAAAUACUCGAUUGCAAAAUGCAUAACAUUUCAUGUCAAUUUCUUAGAAGCUUACAUUUCUGUUCAAAUUUUGCUUGAGAAAUUGCAACACUGUCUCUCAAAAGAUCAAGCCUCUCACCGUCCGCAGGUACAUCGAAAGAUCAAACCUCUCGCCCGUCCACAGGUACAUCCUAGCUUCUUGUCAAUUGUCAUCAUCAGCUUGCUUUAAUUUCUUUUUAAGUACGUUCUCUUUAUGUAAAUAAACUUUACUUUUUUACCUUUUAUUUAUGUCACUUAUAUUUUAUGUUCCAUAUUAAUAUUAGUUUUAUGUUCUUAUUUCUCAAGAUACUUACAUGUUUUAUUUGUUUUACUUUUUAUUUAUGUUUUAUGUUCUUAUUUCUUAAGAUAUGUACAUGUUUUAUUUGUAUUACCUUUUAUUUACGUCACUUAUAUUUUAUGUUCCAUUUACAUUACUUAUGUUCUAUAUUCUUAUUUCUUAACAUAUUUCUCAAAAAAUAAAAAUCAUCAUAAAAGAAUUAAUUCCACGCUUAGGCAUGUGGACUAUUUCUUUCCCUCUUGCGUCGGAUAUCCUUGGUUGAACCGGGGAAGACUUCUUGUAUUUUCAUAAUGUAUUUCAAAUUAAAUUAAGCAUUAAUUAGACAAACAAAUUUUAUAAUUAUUCAUGAUUAAAAGAAAAAAAAAACUCUAUAUGACUCAAUUUAAUCAACAUCAGAAUCUUAACUAACUCUUGUAGUAGUAAAGAUCAAGAUCAAGCAUCACUUAUAGGGAUGACAAAAAUCCCCACGGGGACGGGUACCCUCGGGGAUUUUCUCCAUUCGGGGAGGGUAUGAGGAUAAUUUCAUACCCAAUUUUUUAUUCGGGGAAGGGAUGGAGAAAUUUUUUUACCCAAUUUCUUAUUCGGGGAGGGGACGUGGAUGAGGUGGAAUCCCCAUCCCCAUCCCCAUCCCCUACCCAUUUCCCCAUUUUAAUUUUUUAAAAUUACUAGUAAAUAAAUAAUAAAAUUUGAAUUAUAAAAUUAUAAGUAUUGGUAAAAAUAAAAAAUAUCAAAAUAUUUAUAUUAUUAAACUUUUAGGCCUAAUUAACUAAUUAAAGUCCUAAAUUUUUAUUUAUAACAUUAAAAAGACUAGACAGAUUCUAUGAGCCCAAAACUUUUAUUUUAAUUUUAAUAUUCAUUAAAUAUUUUAAACUUAAAUUUAAUUUUUAUUUAUCUUAAAUCUAAUUUUUAUUUAUCUUAAAUCUAUUUUUUAUUUAUUUUUAAAUGUUAUAAUUGCCCACAGCAAAUCACAAUUUUAAUAUCUAAUCUAAUCUAAUAUUUGCUCUUGAUUUGCUUCGACUUAACUAUUGUGCUGUAAAGGGAAUAGUCCACAUUUAUAAAGUGCCCACGCCACUAUUGAAAAGUUAAUUUUAAAUCUAAAUUUAAUUUUAUUUGUAACAAUUUUGUAUUAGGCUAUUAAUUUGUUCAUGAUAGUUUGUAUUUCUUGCAUGUUGCGUUACUUACUAAUUUAAUGUAUGUGACUUUUGUAAUGGAUAUUAAUGUAAGAUAUAUUUCGAAUUUUACUUUUAUUUAAAUUUUUUAUUUUAAUAUGAUUAACUCAAAAUCGAAAACAAAAAAAUGUAUUAAUUAUUCGAGGAUCGGGGACCCUCGGGGAUCCCCUGUUAUUAUUCGGGGCGGGAAUGAAGAUUCUCUUAAAUAAUUUUGACGGGGAUGGGGAGAGGACGAGGACAUACGCAAAAUAUAGGGGAUGAGUACGGGGAGAUUGGUCCCCUUCGCUCCCCUCCCCCAUUGCCAUCCCUAAUUUGACUCAACAAUGAAGGAUCAUCUGCUAUAUAACAAUCUAAAUUUUUCUUCAAGCAACAACUUUUUAAAACACAUAUUAAAAGUAACAAUGCGAAAGAACCAAUAAAGAGUUAAGAAACUUACCCUCUUCAAUGAACACUGACAACCCAAAAUCAGUUGCCUUCAAAAGAGCAUUCUCAUCCUUGCUAGACAACAAGAAAUUCUCAGGCUUAAGAUCCCUAUGCAUCACACCCAUAAAAUGGCAAAUAUGCACAACAUUCACAAUAGACCUGCAAAUCGAAGCCGCGGCUCUCUCGCUAUAAUGUCCCUUAGCAAUAAUCCUAUCAAAAAGCUCACCACCAGCACACAAUUCCAUAACCACAUGCACAGAUUGCUUAUCCUCAUAAGCACCCUUAAACUCAACAAUGUUAGGCUGCCCACUCAAAUGCUGCAUUAUCUGAAUCUCUCUUUUGAUAUCAUCUUUAUCAUUCUUUGUCACAAGUUUCCUCUUAGAAAUUGACUUGCAAGCGAACUGCCUGCCGGUUGAAUUCUCAGUACAUAAAUAAGUAACACCAAAUUGACCCCUUCCCAAUUCUUUACCAAAAGAGUAAUGUAACUUAACAUCUUCAUAAGGUUUACCGAGAAUUGUAUUUGUAUCUGGCCUGGGAACUGCUUGUUUUAGGCCAGAAACAGGAGCAGCUGCUGGUGUUGGCCCCGGUUUCUCAGGCCGGUGAUGGGCUUGUUGCUGUGCUGGUGCUGGGGCUUUAGCAACUGUAUUCGGUGAUGAUCUGUAGCCAUGGGCAUAAUGCCGCGGCUUUGGGUCUUUACUUUUUGUUAAACAACCACCCAUUCGAGCAAGACUUAACGAAUUGGAUCAAAAAUACUGAAUUGCCUAAAAGGUUAAAUUUUUUAAAAUGGAGAAGCAAAAGAAGGAACCCAGAUGAGAUAAAGGGAGCGUUAAGAUAAGAUGAGAUAUUGAUUAAAAGGUAGUGACUUUUAUGAAACCCACAUAAGGAUCUUGAGAGAAUAUGCAGGGGAUGUGAUGGGUAGAAAAGUAGAUCAGAGUUAAUGGCUUUUGAAGAUCAGAGUUAUUCAAGGACCGAUGACAAAAGAAAUAGGGUUAACAAGAAAAAGGAAGAAGCUUUGGUCAACUAUUGAAACUUGAAUAAAAGUUGAAUAUUUCUGAGAGAAAAAGCAGAGAUAGCGAAACUGCAAAGAAUCUUCUGACGCUAAGAGACAGCAGGCAGCAGCUUCACAAAAAUGAAAUGAAUUCUCAAUUACUCAAUUAGAU